rnacentral:rRNA from 1 species
GUUCUACGAUUGAUGGCUUAGUGAGAUCCUAGGAGGGCAAGCGCACGAGGGCAACCUCUAGCGCGUGCCCGAAUUCGAUCAAACUUGGUCAUUUAGAGGAAGUACAAGUCGUAACAAGGUUUCCGUAGGUGAACCUGCGGAAGGAUCAUUUCUGAAGGCUACACGCCAACAUUGUGAAACUCAUCUUCGGAUGAAUUACUUGGGUGCUCUCGGGCGCCCAACAUUCAAACUUUUAUUUUUUAUUCUGAAACCGAGAAAUUUAAAACUUUCAACAACGGAUCUCUUGGUUCUCGCAUCGAUGAAGAACGCAGCAAAGCGCGAUAGGUAAUGCGAAUUGCAGACGUGAGUCAUUGAAUCUUUGAACGCACAUUGCGCUACUAGGUUCUCCUAGUAGCAUGCUUGUUGGAGCGCCGAUCUUUCUCCUCUACCUCUUCUCUGAAGAGGCCUGAGGGUAUUGCUCCCGCCGGGAGUUAAAAGAAUGGAAGUGCACACGUUAGAUAACUCUGUGCAGUUACACUUUUACUUUUGGCCCCCAAUCAAGCAAGGCUACCCGCUGAACUUAAGCAUAUCAAUAAGCGGAGGAAAAGAAACCAACAGGGAUUGCCCUAGUAACGGCGAGUGAACAGGCAAGAGCUCAGAUUUGAAAGCCCCUUGGGGCAUUGUAU